GGGCCAGAUAAGCCAGAGUCCCAGGGUCUUGUUCACGCCCCAUUACCGCUCCCAGGUUCCUCGAUCAAGGUCUGGACGACAACUAUUGCCGGAAUCCUGACGGCUCCGAGCGGCCAUGGUGCUACACUACGGAUCCGCAGAUCGAGCGAGAGUUCUGUGACCUCCCCCGCUGCGGGUCCGAGGCACAACCCCGCCAAGAGGCCACAACUGUCAGCUGCUUCCGCGGGAAGGGUGAGGGCUACCGGGGCACAGCCAAUACCACCACCGCGGGCGUACCUUGCCAGCGUUGGGACGCGCAAAUCCCGCAUCAGCACCGAUUUACGCCAGAAAAAUACGCGUGCAAGUGAGGUGGGGGGGGGGCGGGCGUUGGGACGUGCUGCUGCGGGUGAGACGGGAGGAGGGUAGUCACCGGCUUAGGGCUGGAGGCUGGCGGGCUAGGGCUGAGUGGAGCGCCUGCUUAGAGACCUUCGGGAGAACUUCUGCCGGAACCCCGACGGCUCAGAGGCGCCCUGGUGCUUCACACUGCGGCCCGGCAUGCGCGUGGCCUUUUGCUACCAGAUCCGGCGUUGUGCAGACGACGUGCGGCCCCAGGACUGCUACCACGGCGCAGGGGAGCAGUACCGCGGCACGGUCAGCAAGACCCGCAAGGGUGUCCAGUGCCAGCGCUGGUCCGCUGAGACGCCGCACAAGCCGCAGUUCACGUUUACCUCCGAACCGCAUGCACAACUGGAGGAGAACUUCUGCCGGAACCCAGAUGGGGAUAGCCAUGGGCCCUGGUGCUACACGAUGGACCCAAGAACCCCAUUCGACUACUGUGCCCUGCGACGCUGCGCUGAUGACCAGCCGCCAUCAAUCCU
rnacentral:sRNA from 1 species